rnacentral:lncRNA from 1 species
UUUACACCUGAAGACCCUCUUCCUCAGCUAGGGUUUCCAAGGCUUGAAACCAAGAGGUGUUGGUUGGUCCUAGGUCCUGGCUGCUGCUUCUCCUGAUCAUCCUUGAUAGUCGUCUGCUUCUCCUUUCCACUAACAUCCAUGGGCCAUGGCCAUUCGAGUUCUUAGGGGUAUCCUCCAUGUUUGAAGUUGUGUUUCUCAUUUGCCCUUUUUUUUCCGUUUGUGAUUCUUUCUUCAGACUUGUUAAGCUCAGUCGCUCUUUUAGGGCAUAUUUUUUUUAUUGACCAUAAUGGCCACACGAAAAAUAGACGAUGGGUAGAUACUCGUACUGCACUCUUUGAAGUGCUCCUUUUGAUUUUUUUGUUAAUGCUUUUUAGGACGUCACUAUUUGGCAAUUUGUUUGUGG